AAAAGGAUGAUCGGAUCCUUCAAUUCAAGAUCGGAGUUAUUGAUCUUUAUGUAGGUAGUGAAUAGAAUUUUCUAUCAAAAAUUCAACAAAUUCUGAUUCUUUUACACCGUUAAACUAGCAAGUAUCCCAUAUCGGCCAUUAAAUAUUGUCAAAUUUGUGACCUCUUGAUCGUAAGGUAAAUGAUGUCGAAAAAUUAUAAAAUUUGAUUUCUAAAAGUUUUAAAUGCUGUAAAUAACGUUUAACAGUAUGGAUCGUCGAUUCAGAAGCUCUAUCAUCGAAAAUAAUUUAUGAGUACNACUUAGCUAGAAAUGUGAAUCAACUAGAAUUCGAACCUGAGAUCUCGGAUAUCAACCAUCAAACCUUUUACCAUUUGCUCUAGGGACGGUCGGUGAGUCAAUUUCUUUUCAUACCAUAAUUUUCAGUAUAGCACUGC
rnacentral:lncRNA from 1 species